CAGUCGCCGCGGUAAUACGUUGGUGGCAAGCGUUGUCCGGAAUUAUUGGGCGUAAAGGGCUCGCAGGCGGUUUCUUAAGUCUGAUGUGAAAGCCCCCGGCUCAACCGGGGAGGGUCAUUGGAAACUGGGAAACUUGAGUGCAGAAGAGGAGAGUGGAAUUCCACGUGUAGCGGUGAAAUGCGUAGAGAUGUGGAGGAACACCAGUGGCGAAGGCGACUCUCUGGUCUGUAACUGACGCUGAGGAGCGAAAGCGUGGGGAGCGAACAGGAUUAGAUACCCCCGUAGUCCCUGUCUCUUAUAC
rnacentral:rRNA from 1 species